CGAGUUUGAUCCUGGCUCAGGAUGAACGCUAGUUAGAGGCUUAAUACAUGCAAGUCGAAUGGACUGGAAACAGUUACAUGGCGCACGGGUGAAUUUACGUAGGAAUCUAGCCAGAUGACCUUGAUAAAAACAAGGAUAAUUCAUAAAUUUCGAAAGAAGCAUUUGGAUGAGCUUACGCGGGAUUAGGUAGUGGGUGUGGGAAAGGCGCACCAAGCCUAAGAUCCCAAGCUACUCUGAGAGGAGGUAUAGCCACAUCAGGUAUGAGAGAAGGCCUGAACUUCGAUAGAAGGCAGCAGUAGGGAAUAUUGGACAAUGGGCGAAAGCCUGAUCCAGCUAUCUAACGUGGAGGAAGAGGACAUAUCGUUCAUAAACUCCUUUCGACGAAGAGUAUAAUGAAGCUAUUCGUAGAAGAAGUCCCGGCAAAUUUCGUGCCAGCAGCCGCGGUAAUACGAAAGGGGCAAGCGUUAUCCGGAAUUAUUGGGCGUAAAGGGUGUGUAGGUGGUCCAAGAAGAAUGCAAUGAAAGUACUUUAAAAAGGAGUAAGUGUUGCAGAGCCCUGAGGACUUGAGGUCAAAAGACGAGAAUCGAAUUUCGGGUGGAGCGAUAAAAUGCAAAGAUAUCCGAAGGAAGACCAAAAGCGAAGGCAGUUCUCGAGGUUGAACCUGACGUUGAAAAACGAAAGCGUGGGGAGCAAACGGGAUUAGAGACCCCGGUAGUCCACGCCCUAAACGAUGUGUGACUUUCUAGGACCUAUAUAAAGAUUAUAGAGCGAACUAGAAAAAGCUAACGCGAUCACACCGCCUGGGGAGUACGGCCGCAAGGCUGAAACUCAAAGGAAUUGACGGGAGCUUACACAAACAGUGGAGCAUGUGGUUUAAUUCGACAUAACGCGCAGAACCUUACCUCCCCUUGACAUUUCUUGAAUAUAAAGCAGAAAUGUUUUAUAAUAAAAUCCUGAAACAGGUGCUGCAUGGCUGUCGUCAGCUCGUGUCGUGAGAUGUUAGAUUAAGUUCGUUAACGAGCGCAACCCUUGUAUUAUGUCAUUCACGGUGCAUAAUAGACAGUCUACUAAAGGUAGAAGGAAGGUGAGGAUGACGUCAAGUCCGCAUGGCCCUUAUGGGGAGGGCUACACAUGUGCUACAAUGAUGCGCACAAAAAGAUGCAAAAGAGUAAUCUGGAGCAAAACUAUAAAUCGCAUCCCAGUACGGAUUGAGCUCUGCAACUCGAGCUCAUGAAGCAGGAAUUGUUAGUAAUCGAAGAUCAGAACGCUUCGGUGAAUAUGUACCUAAGCUUUGUACAUACCGCCCGUCACACUUUAAGAGAGGGGAUUUUCUGAAGAACCCAGAAGUAAACAGGUAAUGAAUUCCUCUGAUUCACGAAGAAAUGAAUGUUUAUGAAAGGAUCGAAGUUGGUCAACUUGAUCGAAGUGAAGUCGUA
rnacentral:rRNA from 1 species